UUAUUAAAUUAUUAAUUUUUUUUAUUAAAUUGUAGUUUAUUUAAAGAUUUAUUAAUUAUUUUUGUUUUAGUAUGUAUUUGAAUUAAUUCUUGUUUUUAUAGUUUAUUUGUACUGUUAAGGGUGAUUUUAUUAUUAUUUUAGUAGAUAUUUGAUUGUACCUUUUGUAUCAGGGUUGAUUAAAUAUUAAUUAUUUAUUUAUUGUUCUCGAAUUGAUUUGAUCUAAUUUAAUAUGUUAGUUAAUGUUUUAUAAUUAUUAAUAAUUUUUUGUUAGAUGUGAUAUGCUAUUCAUAAAUCAAUAUAUCUAGUUUUUUAAUAAUUGAAUUUAAUUCAGCUAUUUAUUUUAAUAAUUAUUUAUUUAUAUUAUUGUUAAAUAGUACGAUCUUGGGGGAUUAGCUCUGAGAUUUAAAUUAUAAUAGAUUUAUUUAUAUUUUAUGUAGGACUUAUAAUAUCUUUCAUUAAUUAGUAUUUUAUAAUUUAUUAUAUAUAUUUUUUGAUUUUUUAUUUAUUUAAUUAUUUAUUAAAAUUAUUUUUUAAAUUAUUUAUAAUAUUAAAUUAUGAUUUAAUUAGUAUAUUUUUUAUAUUAUAUUUAUUUAAUUUUAAAUAUAUAAAAGGAAUUAGGCAAAUUGAUUAUUCGCCUGUUUAUCAAAAACAUCUCUUCUUGAUAUUAUAUGAAGUUUGACCUGCCCUAUGAAUUAUUAAAUGGCCGCGGUAUUUUGACUGUGCAAAGGUAGCAUAAUCAUUAGUUUAUUAAUUGUAAACUUGUAUGAAUGGUUUGACGAAAUAAAAACUGUCUCUUAUAUAUUAUGUUGAAUUUAAAUUUUAAGUUAAAAUGCUUAAAUUUUUUAUAGGACGAGAAGACCCUAUAGAUCUUUAUUAUCUCUAUUUAUUUUAUUUAGUUAAUUUUAAUAUAUGGAUUUUUUUGUUGGGGUGACAUGGGGAAUAAUUUAUAAACUCUUUAUUUUUUUUUUACAAUUAUUUUUGAAAAUUUGACCUUAUUUUAAUGUUAUAAGAUUAGAUACCUUAGGGAUAACAGCGUAAUCUUUUUUGAGAGUUCAUAUUGACAAUUAGGAUUGCGACCUCGAUGUUGGAUUAAGAUUAUUAUUAGGUGCAGUAGCUUAAUUAAUAGGUCUGUUCGACCUUUAAAUUCUUACAUGAUCUGAGUUCAGACCGGCGUAAGCCAGGUUGGUUUCUAUCCUUAAUCAUAUUUUUUAUAUCAGUACGAAAGGACCUUAUAAAUUAAAUAUUUUAUUAUUUUGAUUAUUU
rnacentral:rRNA from 1 species